GGCCUGGUCUCAUGCAAUGCGAUGCUGUCGGGCAUCGGGUCAGGCUGGAAACAGAGCAGCCCACCUGCGGUAGCCAUGUGCCGUGAGGUGCUGGGCCGCA
rnacentral:SRP_RNA from 1 species